rnacentral:lncRNA from 1 species
UUUCACUCCAAGAGACAACCUCACAGGAGAGAGAGAGGGAGACAGCAAGGGAGAGAGAGAGAGAGAGAGGGGGGGGGGGGUAGAGGGAGAGAGAGAGAGAGAGAGAGAGAGAGGGAGACAGCAAGGGAGAGAGAGAGAGAGAGAGAGAGAGAGAGAGAGAGAGAGAGAGAAAGGGAAGAGAAAAGUCAGCAGAGGGAGCAGAGACAAUGCAUGAUGGAGGAAAUGAAGUGUGCUCGGCAGCAUGUGGACCAUGUGCUCAGCAUGUAACUGCGGAGUGUCGCGCCAUGGAAAGGUGUCUGCAACCCCGGGCUCCCUCCUGCACGACUCUUGGCGUUUGCAACAGCAAGGGGCGGAGGAAGAAAACUCGAGUCCGGAGACAGACAACCACAAGGUAAGCUACAGCUGUCGACUGUGUAUAUCAUCGUAAUACUUAGGAUAUACAGUAUUGAGCCUAUUGCUUUAUUUGCUACGUUUUUUCUCAUUCAUAAGAUUGGUGUUUAGAUAAGUGCCAUUAUUUUGUUAGGUCUACAGUUAGGCUAUCUAUCAUAUUCUAGAGUUUGCGUUGUGUGAAAGACCAGAAGAAGCAUGGCAUUGCAACAGUGUGUGGUCUGCCUUGGUUCUAUCAUUGUAGACUGUGCGUGCGUGUGUGCGCGCGCGCGUGCGUGCGUAUGAUCUCUGUGUGUGUUUUCCCUUCUUUAAGUUGCUGGAGGAGGGGUGGUAUGCAAGUCGAGCUAGAUGUGUGUGUGUGUGUGUGUGUGUGUGUGUGAGGGUGGGAGAGAUCUGAGAGUGUGGUUGGGUGCAGACAGGAUCUGUGUGUGUGUUUUCCCUUCUUUAAGUUGCGGGAGGAGGGGUGGUAUGCGAGUCGUGCUGUGUGUGUGCGUGUGUGGGGUGGUAUGCUAGCUGGGCUGGUGGAAAUUCCUGUGUGUGUUUUGGAAUGUGAUUACCCCGGGGGAGACACCGUGUGAGAGAGAGAGAGAGAGAAAGCAGGAAUAAACCAACAUGAUUUGAUUCCAUUAAUGGUAGAUGUGAUAUGACCGACUUACAGGUGACUUUUAUAUUUCAAAUAGUGAUGAUGAUAAUAGUUAUCAUAAUCCAUAAUCCAUCAUCAUCAUCAUCAUCAUCAUCAUCAUCAUCAUCAUCAUCAUCAUCAUCAUCAUCAUCAUCAUCAUCAUAUCCUUGUGAGAUAUAAUUACAAUAAAAAAGCAGUUGAAGGAACAAAGCAAGUAUUAGUGGGGGGGGGGAC